CCUAGCUGAUCAUCUUGCUGAUCCAGUGAACAACAAUGCAUGGGCCUAUGCCACCAACUUUGUCCCCGGAAAGUGAGAGAGGAGGAGAGCUUUGAACUUCUUACUUUCGGUUUGAGCAGUUUGUGUGUUUGUUAUGUAUAUUGGUCCGAUCUAAUGAAAAAAAGUGUGAAUUUAUAUGUCUUUGUUAUGUAUAAGUUGAUACCCUAUGUUGUUUGUUUGUUCUAAAAAUGCAGUAGUACCUAAAAUGUAUCUAUCUCAUCUUACAUAAUCACUUGGUUAGGGCCAUGGAAUGGUGGCCUUAACCAAUUUCUUUUGGGACGUUUCAAAUUAGCUCAAUAUAAAUGCUGCUAAAAAUCUUCAAUAUUGUUGGACACAAUUGGCUAUCAUGUAAAAUUUGCUCAUAAUUCUCGUAGCUUAAGAAGAUUAAUUUGAUAUAUAGUUGCCUAUCAAGUUAUAAAGAAUCAAAAAUGGAUAAUAGAAAAAGAAAAGAAAAGAAAAGGUGAGAAUACAUGAAUUAAUAGUAGUAAUGUAGUAGUAAAACUAGACUUGUAGGUAAGUAGUUUCGUUUUUGCUCAGAAAGGGUAC
rnacentral:lncRNA from 1 species